rnacentral:misc_RNA from 1 species
UAGAAGAUGAGCCUACACCACACUCA